CCGCACUAGUCGGGGAGUCAGCGGUGCCCUGUCGCCUGCAACCCGCUACAGCAGGGAUGAAUCCCGGCCCCCGGAUUUGUGAUGUGUCGUCUGAACCCGGUAAGCAGCGUUGACGAGCCGGUCUCGCGCAACGUAAAUUCGUGAAUCAUGUCAGGCGGGGAACCGAGCAGCAUUAAGCGAAAAUUUGCGUGUGCCGCGAGGCCACCGGUUCUGAGCCGGCUGCCGUUGUUACGGACAUAUCACACUUUCAAAGGCCGGUGUGCGG
rfam:Sporobacter termitidis DSM 10068 genome assembly, contig: EK05DRAFT_scaffold00013.13